rnacentral:rRNA from 1 species
UACGAAGGAUCCAAGCGUUAUCCGGAUUCAUUGGGUUAAAGGGUGCGUAGGCGGUUUUGUAAGUCAGUGGUGAAAUCUCUCAGCUUAACUGAGAAACUGCCAUUGAUACUGCAGAACUAGGAGUACAGAUGACGUUGGCGGAAUGUGUCAUGUAGCGGGUGAAAAUGCAUUAGAUAUGACACAGAAACACCGAUUGCGAAAGGCAGCCUGACGAAAAACUGCAAACUGACGGCUGAUGCACGAAAAGUGCGGGGGAUAAAACAGG